rnacentral:lncRNA from 1 species
UUUGCACAGCUUCUAACGCUGGAGAUGUACUACGGUAUCAGCUGGUCACUACCAGGGAACUACGGUAACACCCCUUAUUUUUCGAGCAACAUCCGGAGUAUUCGAGCGGUUCCAAGCAAUGCUGUUUUCUGCAAGUGCUCCACUCUUAUUUCAGCCCCGAUUUGUUCCAUGUACUUCUCAAGAUUUUUACUCACUGUUCCCAGGGCUCGGACAAUUAUUGGUACUACCACCACCUUUUCAGCGACCGCAACUGCUUAACCUCCCAUGCUAACCUGUCAUAUCUAUCGACUUUUCUGUCUUCCUUCUCGCAUACUUUGUUGUCAGCAGGGCAUGCUAUAUCUAUGAUCCUGCAUCGUUUUCCUAAAUAUAUCCAUUUCCUUUUUGCGUAAUUUAGACGACUGUUUAUUCACCGCACCCUGUAUGUAUGUAUGUAUGUAUGUAUGUAUGUAUGUAUGUAUGUAUGUAUGUAUGUAUGGAUGGAUGGAUGGAUAGAUAGACAGAUAGAUAGAUAGAUAGAUAGAUAGAUAGAUAGAUAGAUAGAUAGAUAGAUAGAUAGAUAGAUAGAUAGAUAGAUAGAUAGAUAGAUAGAUAGAUAGAUAGAUAGAUAGAUAGAUAGAUAGAUAGAUAGAUAGAUAGAUAGAUAGACAGACAGACAUACAUACAUACAUACAUACAUACAUACAGAUGGAAAUAGUAUAUUCUCCAACGGCUACUGUGAAUCAGCCACCGUGCACAACAAAGCCAAUGACCUGACAGUAAUUGGGCUCUAUAGGCCGCCCCAAACACCCAUACUGUGCUUUAAAGAAUGCCUCAACAGCAUUAAGUGCUUUAUUCAACAGUGCCAUUCUAGCAACAUACUCAUGAUGGGAGACUUCAAUCUACCCUGUGUUGACUGGACUACAAACUGUUUGAAACCAAGCACUCCCGCCUCAACCGCUGACAAAGAAGCAGCAGAGUCACUUUUUGACUUUACGAAUGAGUUUUUCUUGUCCCAACUUGUCCUUGCACCAACAAGACAUCAGAACAUUUUGGACCUAGUGUUUAGUAACCACACUAACACUAUACAUAACGUUACAGUGGAAAAAACCCUUCUUUCAGACCAUGACAUGGUUCUCUGUAACAUGAAAUUCCACCAGCCGAAAGCUAAUCCUAGUGACCUUCCUCCAGCCCACCCAUUUGACAACAUGGAUCUCCAUAAUGCCAACUGGGAUGCAAUCAGGAACGAGCUAUCACAUGUUGACUGGUCCUUUACACAUACACACAUCUCCACCAACCAUAAAACAUCUUGGCAGAUCUUUGUAGACACCGUCACAGACAUAUGUGCAAAACACUCCCCACCAAGACCUGUGAACAAAAAGUGCAGAAUCCCCCAAAACAGAAAAACCAUUAUCAGAAAAAUAAAAAGAACAAACAAAAAAAUUAACAAACUAAAGUACUGCCAACAGCAACACACACAUUCGAUGGCUAUCGCACUGCUUGAAUCCAAAAAAUAUAACCUCCAACAAUGCAUGAAGACCCUCAUCAAUAACCAAAGAUCAGCUGAGGAGAAGUGGGCCAUUGAAAAAAUCAAACUCAACCCCAAAGUGUUCUUUUCAUUUGCGAGGAAACGCAGGGUCACUGUCUCCACUGUAGGCCCUCUAAUUGACGAAACUGGCACUCUCCAAGAUAAUGCCAAAUCCAUGGCCGAGAUACUGCAGAGACAAUACUGCUCUGUUUUCAGCAAUCCUGAUAUGGCCGAUCUGGGCUGUAUCAGUGAUGUCAACCCCCAACACACUAUAUCGGACAUAACGUUUAGUGCCCCUGAUGUCUUAGCGGCGAUAAACGAAAUAAAACACAAUUCAGCAGUAGGCCCCGAUAGGUUCCCUGCUUGUGUCCUGAAGGUGUGUCGACACCAACUUGCAUCUCCCCUUGCUAAUCUGUGGAGAAACUCACUGGAUGCUGGCUAUAUUCCAAAAAACCUUCUGUCCCAGUCUGUUGUCCCAGUUUUCAAAAAGGGAAACAAGUCCCUUGCAGUGAAUUACCGUCCGAUCUCACUCACCUCUCAUAUCAUCAAGGUAUUUGAGAGGGUGGUGAGAUCUCGAAUAACCCAAUUUCUGGAAAGCAACAGACGGCUGAUCUCCAACCAACAUGGGUUCCGUAAUGGAAGGGACUGCCUAACGCAGCUCCUGCAUCACUUUGAGGACAUUUUGAGAGCUUUGGGAGAGGGCUCCAACACCGAUGUCAUCUACCUUGAUUUCAGUAAGGCCUUCGACAGGGUCGAUCACAAGAUCCUAUUGAAAAAACUAUCCAACAUUGGUGUCUCUGGAAAGUUACUGAAAUGGAUCAAGUGUUUCCUGACAGACAGAUCUCAACAUGUUGUAGUUGAAGGGGUAAAAUCAAGCCCAGUCAAAGUCAGUAGUGGCGUUCCGCAAGGCACUGUGCUGGGCCCCACUUCUUUUCAUCAUUUACAUUAAUGACAUUAAUGACAUCAUCAAGCACAGCAACAUAAAAAUCUUUGCAGAUGACUCCAAGCUACAGAAGGUCAUAAAUGAGGCGAGUGACCGGACAUGCCUUCAGUCAGAUCUACUGGCUGUUAUCCAAUGGGCAGAAAAAAACAAUAUGCUGCUGAACGAGGAUAAAUUUGAGCUAAUCCACUUUGGAAAAGAGGAUGCCCUGAAACUCCCAUACUCCCUUCCUUCAGGUGAAACUCUCGCGGCGUCCAACAACAUCAGAGACCUGGGAGUAAUUGUGGACAACAACAUAAGCUGGGCCACUCAUAUAAACACCAAAGUUGACAUGGCCCGCAGAAUGUGUUCCUGGAUUCUCAGAACUUUCCAGUCGAGAGAUAUCCACACCAUUAUCCUUCUCUUCUCCACUUUUGCCCGACCCCACCUUGAAUACUGUUGUCCACUGUGGUCUCCCCACACAAUACAAGGUAUCAUAAAAGUUGAAGCACCUCAAAGGGCAAUCACAAAAAAGAUAGAUGGCAUGACAGGCCUCGACUAUUGGGGUCGACUAGAAAAGCUAAAACUCUAUUCUCUCCAACGUCGUCGUGAGCGCUACAUCAUCUGCAUGAUGUGGAAAAUAUUCCAUCAGCAUUGCCCAAAUGAUGUUGGCAUCACCUUUAAGGUACAUCCAAGGCUUGGGCCCCGUGCCAUCCGCCCAAAACAAAAAUCGCACUCUCAUCUCAUAACAACAACACGGCACAAUUAUUUCACCUCAAUUGGCCCCGCUCUCUUUAACAUUACACCAAAACACAUUAAAACAGAAACUGACCCUAUAGGGUUCAAGAAGUCUUUGGACAGAUUCCUUCAAGAAAUCCCGGAUAAACCCCCUACACCCGGAUAUGUCUCUGUAAACAAUAACUCUCUACUUGAGUGGGCCAUAGUGCCCAAAUUCUGACUUGAAAGACUUCACCAGGUGGUGCUAUUAAGUUAGACAUGGCCUGGGCCAAUAAUGGCCGAAACCUAUCAAAGUAUCAAAGUAUCAAAGUAUAUAUAUAUAUAUAUAUAUAUAUAUAUAUAUAUAUAUAUAAUGUAAUUUAGAUUCAGUGGAAUUAAGUACUUAAAUUGAGGCACCUUGUUAGGAAUUGACACUUAUACAUCUUUGUUAUUCAUUUAUAUAUAUAUAUAUAUAUAUAUAUAUAUAUAUUUAUAUAUAUAUAUAUAUAUAUAUAAUUGGGGGUGUAUAGUAUAGUGGUUAUGGUGUUGGAUUUUUAUCAAUAAAGAAAUAGGUGUUGGAUUUUUAUUAUUAUUUCUGCUUUGGUAAGGUGCGUUACCUAUCGCUCGUUUCAUUUUUAAAAAUUACUAAAUUGAAUAGAUUUUAGGCGUGACUUUCUCUCUUUCUUGUUUUUGUUGGGGGCGGCAUCUACUCCCCUUUUUUUUUUGUCGUUAGACAUUUCAAAUAUGGCGACUAAGACAGUACGCGAUUUAAAAAUUACAUAAAGAAAAAUUGAAACAAACGUCAUGCGAACGCAAUAACAGAUAUUUGCACUUCAAAAUUUAUACAGGAAGAUACAAUUUUCACUGGAAAAUACAUCUUGCGCUAUGACAUACACAGUUCGCCCAGAAAGCUAAAGGAGAAAAUAACACCAACAAAAAUUCCUCUUUUAUUUUUGUUCCCAAUAACAAGGAGAUUUGCUAAUGAAUGAACUAGCAAAGGAAAGGGUGGCGUAGUGCAAAUAUGUGUCUCAAUCAAAUACUUUCUGUGCCAGAGGUUCUUAUCCCGGGAUGGCGAAGGAUGAGAGUAACCUACCUUUACUUCGCCAAUCGAGGUUUUUUUCAGUUACCGUGAAAAGAAAUAUUGAAAAAACCCUGGUUGUUAUAUGGAAAGACAGUUUCCAUCGAGCACACCAAAAUAAAGAGAAAUAUUAGCCUUUUCUUCAAGACCAAGGAUGAUAUGAACGAAGCGGUGAUAAUACUAAGUUUACCUCCCAUUUGUCUCAUAACAUAAUACAUUGACUGGGACAACACAAACAUAUCAGAGACAUUAGCAAUGGCACUGAUACCUGACUCGUUGUUGACUUUGUAGCGUAACACUUGUGGUGACAUUGCUCACUGGCUCUUAUCAGCUUUGCCGUGGAAAAUGGGCAGGCUGAGAAUGCAGAGAUCACGAGAAAUAACGCGGUCAGGAAAAGUCAAUAUAGACUUACAAGUCCUUUUGACUUCCGAAUAGCCACAGAAACAGUUGGUACAAGGCAAGCGUGCCCAACUGUUAUACAUUGAUAGUAAUAACUACUUGAGGACUUUCUACUCUGACAAGCUAGAAAGAUAGAAAGAAAAUUUUAAGAUAGAAAGACAGAAAGAAAAUUUUAGGAUGGCAGCUUCUGUGUAAAUUGUGACAACUGUCGAUGUCUCAAGACGAUUCGUUCUCGAUCCCUCAGGCGAACGAUGUCUAAGCUCCUUCUACCAACCAUACCCGCUUCAUUCACUUGUGGGGAUAGGGAACGCUUGAAGGCUGGUUAGAAGCGUCAUUGAAAGGCAUACCAUUUAUUACGACGUUGAAGGUUUUAUUUAUGCGUU